UACGGGGGGAGCAAGCGUUGUUCGGAUUUACUGGGCGUAAAGGGCGGGUAGGCGGCCACCGCAAGUCAGUUGUGAAAUCUCUGGGCUUAACCCAGAAAGGUCAACUGAUACUGCGGGGCUAGAGUGCAGAAGGGGCAACUGGAAUUCUCGGUGUAGCGGUGAAAUGCGUAGAUAUCGAGAGGAACACCUGCGGCGAAGGCGGGUUGCUGGGCCGACACUGACGCUGAGGCGCGAAAGCUAGGGGAGCGAACGGG
rnacentral:rRNA from 1 species